GAUGAACGCUGGCGGCGUGCCUAACACAUGCAAGUCGAGCGAUUCUCUUCGGAGAAGAGCGGCGGACGGGUGAGUAACGCGUGGGUAACCUGCCCUGUACACACGGAUAACAUACCGAAAGGUAUGCUAAUACGGGAUAAUAUGCUUUAGUCGCAUGGCUGAAGUAGCAAAGCUCCGGCGGUACAGGAUGGACCCGCGUCUGAUUAGAUAGUUGGUAAGGUAACGGCUGACCAAGGCGACGAUCAGUAGCCGACCUGAGAGGGUGAUCGGCCACAGUGGAACUGAGACACGGUCCAAACUCCUACGGGAGGCAGCAGUGGGGAAUAUUGCACAAUGGGCGAACGCCUGAUGCAGCAACGCCGCGUGAGCGAUGAAGGCCUUCGGGUCGUAAAGCUCUGUCCUCAAGGAAGAUAAUGACGGUACUUGAGGAGGAAGCCCCGGCUAACUACGUGCCAGCCGCCGCGGUAA
rnacentral:rRNA from 1 species